rnacentral:rRNA from 1 species
CCUACGGGUGGCAGCAGUGAGGAAUAUUGGUCAAUGGACGAGAGUCUGAACCAGCCAAGUAGCGUGAAGGAUGACUGCCCUAUGGGUUGUAAACUUCUUUUAUAUGGGAGUAAAAUGUUCCACGUGUGGGAUUUUGUAUGUACCAUAUGAAUAAGGAUCGGCUAACUCCGUGCCAGCAGCCGCGGUAAUACGGAGGACCCGAGCGUUAUCCGGAUUUAUUGGGUUUAAAGGGAGCGUAGGUGGAUUGUUAAGUCAGUUGUGAAAGUUUGCGGCUCAACCGUAGAAUUGCAGUUGAAACUGGCAGUCUGGAGUACAGUAGAGGUAGGCGGAAUUCGUGGUGUAGCGGUGAAAUGCUUAGAUAUCACGAAGAACUCCGAUUGCGAAGGCAGCUCACUGGACUGCAACUGACACUGAGGCUCGAAAGUGUGGGUAUCAAACAGGAUUAGAUACCCGAGUAGUC